rnacentral:rRNA from 1 species
GACGAACGCUGGCGGCGUGCUUAACACAUGCAAGUCGUACGGUAAGGCCCUUUCGUGUGUCCACGAGUGGCGAACGGGUGAGUAACACGUGAGUAACCUGCCCACAACUUUGGGAUAACGCUAGGAAACUGGUGCUAAUACUGGAUAUGUGCUCCUGCUGCAUGGUGGGGGUUGGAAAGCUCCGGCGGUUGUGGAUGGACUCGCGGCCUAUCAGCUUGUUGGUGGGGUAGUGGCCUACCAAGGCGGCGACGGGUAGCCGGCCUGAGAGGGUGACCGGCCACAUUGGGACUGAGGUACGGCCCAGACUCCUACGGGAGGCAGCAGUGGGGAAUAUUGCACAAUGGGCGCAAGCCUGAUGCAGCAACGCCGCGUGCGGGAUGACGGGCUUCGGGUUGUAAAACGCUUUCAGCAGGGAUGAAGCUUUUUGUGACGGUACCUGCAGAAGAAGCACCGGCUAACUACGUG